UACGUAGGGUGCAAGCGUUGUCCGGAAUUAUUGGGCGUAAAGAGCUCGUAGGCGGUUUGUCGCGUCUGCUGUGAAAACCCGAGGCUUAACUCUGGGCGUGCAGUGGGUACGGGCAGGCUAGAGUGCGGUAGGGGAGACUGGAAUUCCUGGUGUAGCGGUGAAAUGCGCAGAUAUCAGGAGGAACACCAACAGCGAAGGCAGAUCUCUGGGACGUAACUGACGCUGAGACGCGAAAGCGUGGGGAGCAAACAGG
rnacentral:rRNA from 1 species